UGUCCUUUGGUCUGGGACAAGCCCUGGAAACGGGGUCUAAUACCGGAUAACACUUCCACUCUCCUGAGUGGUGGUUAAAAGCUCCGGCGGUGAAGGAUGAGCCCGCGGCCUAUCAGCUUGUUGGUGAGGUAAUGGCUCACCAAGGCGACGACGGGUAGCCGGCCUGAGAGGGCGACCGGCCACACUGGGACUGAGACACGGCCCAGACUCCUACGGGAGGCAGCAGUGGGGAAUAUUGCACAAUGGGCGAAAGCCUGAUGCAGCGACGCCGCGUGAGGGAUGACGGCCUUCGGGUUGUAAACCUCUUUCAGCAGGGAAGAAGCGAAAGUGACGGUACCUGCAGAAGAAGCGCCGGCUAACUACGUGCCAGCAGCCGCGGUAAUACGUAGGGCGCAAGCGUUGUCCGGAAUUAUUGGGCGUAAAGAGCUCGUAGGCGGCUUGUCACGUCGGGUGUGAGAGCCCGGGGCUUAACCCCGGGUCUGCAUUCGAUACGGGCUAGCUAGAGUGUGGUAGGGGGAGAUCGGAAUUCCUGGUGUAGCGGUGAAAUGCGCAGAUAUCAGAGGAACACCGGUGGCGAAAGGCGGGAUCUCUGGGCCAUUA
rnacentral:rRNA from 1 species